GCCCAGGAGAGGCACCUGCCCAGAAUGGAACAAGCCCAGCAGAGGUGCCAUGCCCAGGGAGGAGUAGGUGCAAGAUCCAGUAGCAUCAGGAGGCAAUAUUAAUUAAUCCAGAGCAUCCUGAUCAAAUUCUCCUAUUCCACAAAAUUUACACAAAGACAGCAACUAGAGAAGAAGACAACAAAUGGCUGUUGUUCAUCCUUCAUUCUCAAAGAGAACCAAUAACAUCUGGAAGUGACUGGACCAGUUGCCUUUAGACAGACUGCUAAUUCUAAAGAGGGAGCCAGCCAGAGGUGCCAGGCCAAAGGCUACACACAUAAAUCUGACUGCCCUGCUGAAUGUAUCCCCAGUGAGAGUUGUUUCAGAACGGAAACGGACUUGGAAAUUCAGCUAAGUCGAUACCUUCAUUUUUAUAGAGGAGGAAACUGAAGCCUAAAAAGGCUAAGUCUUACAAUAAGCAGAAGAGCAAGAAUUUUAACUGAGACCCUCUCAUUCUAAAUCUGGCAGUCUUCUGACUAUACCACACAGUCUUUGGUUCUUCCAGUGUGGCGGGCCAUGAUGGGAAAGCAUAGCCAUAUUCACUUCUCAGCAGUAAUGGCAGCUGGGAAGGCUGCCCAGGGGGGUA